GUGCCAGCGCCGCGGUGAUACCGGCAGCCCGAGUGAUGACCGAUCUUAUUGGGCCUAAAGCGUCCGUAGCUGGCCGACCAAGUCUCCCGGGAAAUCCACCCGCCCAACGGGUGGGCGUCCGGUGGAAACUGCGUGGCUUGGGACCGGAAGGCGCGACGGGUACGUCCCGGGUAGGAGUGAAAUCCCGUAAUCCUGGACGGACCGCCGAUGGCGAAAGCACGUCGCGAAGACGGAUCCGACAGUGAGGGACGAAAGCUAGGGUCUCGAACCGGAUUAGAUACCCCGGUAGUCC
rnacentral:rRNA from 1 species